AUUGAACGCUGGCGGCAGGCCUAACACAUGCAAGUCGAGCGAGCGGCGGACGGGUGAGUAAUGUAUGGGGAACUGCCCGAUAGAGGGGGAUAACUACUGGAAACGGUAGCUAAUACCGCAUACUAUCGGAUGAACCAAGAUGGGAUUAGCUAGUAGGUGGGGUAAAGGCUCACCUAGGCGACGAUCUCUAGCUGGGCUGAGAGGAUGACCAGCCACACUGGAACUGAGACACGGUCCAGACUCCUACGGGAGGCAGCAGUGGGGAAUAUUGCACAAUGGGCGCAAGCCUGAUGCAGCCAUGCCGCGUGUAUGAAGAAGGCCUUCGGGUUGUAAAGUACUUUCAGCGGGGAGGCGUUACCCGCAGAAGAAGCACCGGCUAACUCCGUGCCAGCAGCCGCGGUAAUAC
rnacentral:rRNA from 1 species